rnacentral:rRNA from 1 species
GUUCCUUUUGGCUUCCCCCCCAACACAAAGGAGAAAAGCCCCCCCAGUUUAUAUCCUGACUUCUGUGAAUAUCCCAUAGCGUGUGGGAAUAUAACUGGUGGGUUAAUUUCUUAGAAGCCUUAAUAACAUUGCCACCCAAAAGCCUUCCCGAAAUUUUUUUGACCGAAGCCGCCAUUCUUAUUUAAGAAUUUAAAAACCCAAAUUCGGGGGGUUUUCGGGCCCCCGUUUUUGUUUGGGUUGAACUUCUUGAAAUAAACUCAUUAGCCUUGAAUCGCAUUGGGUCUAGAAAACCGGGCGAACGUUGUUUCUAUUCAAGUUGGGUCUUGCCUUUAAUCAAACUUGUUCGGAUUGGGGUAGUUUUAUUGUUGCCCUACCCAUUGGGUUUGGUUAACGGGGUUAAACGGAAGGAAAUAAGGGGGUUCGAACCUCCCGGGAAGAAGGGGAGCCCUGGAAGAAAACGGCCCUACCACAAUUCCCAAGGGAAGGGGCAGCCAGGGGCGCGCAAAAAUUUACCCACCUUCUCGGGCCAAUGAGGGAAGGGUAGUGGACCGGAAAAAUAAAACCGAGAACCGUUCCUUCCUAUGAGGGCCCCGGUUAAUUCGGAAUGGGUAACCAAUUUUAAACCCCGGUUUAACGAAGGAAAUCUAUGAAAGAGGGCCAAAGUCUGGGGUGCCAGGCCAGCCGCCGGGUAAUUUCCAGCUUUCUCAAAGUUGGUAUAUUUCGUCAUUUGCUGCCGGGUUAAAAAGGCCUCGUAAGUUGGGAAUCUGCGCCCUCAGGGAACUUGGGUCCCGCCCCACCUGGGGUGAAGAACUGGGGCUCCCUGGGGCCUAGUUCUUGCUGGGUUUUUCCCCUAUGUUUGCCUUUCAUCGGGUAGCCGUAGGGGUGGCCUAGCGGAGUUUUACUUUUGAAAAAAAUUAAGAAGUGCUUCCACGCGGGGCUUUAUGUCCUGAAAUACUUCGUGGCAUGGGAAUAAUAGAAAUAAGGAUCUCCGGCUCUAUUUUUGUUUGGUUUUUCUGAUCUGGAGAUAAUGGGUUAAGAGGGGACGGACGGGGGGCAUUUCGUAUCCGCUGCGGUGAGAAGGUGAAAUUCUUUGGACCGUAGCGAGACGCCCGACUGCGAAAGCAUUUCCCAAGAAAGUCUUCAUUAAUCAAGAACGAGAAUCUAGGACAGGGAAAAAAACCCCCACCACACACACACAAAAAGCGGUGGGGGGAAAAAACCAAAGGA